GAUGAAGAACGCAGCGAAAUGCGAUAAGUAGUGUGAAUUGCAGAAUUCAGUGAAUCAUCGAAUCUUUGAACGCACAUUGCGCCCCUUGGUAUUCCAUGGGGCAUGCCUGUUCGAGCGUCAUUUGUACCUUCAAGCUCUGCUUGGUGUUGGGUGUUUGUCUCGCCUCUGCGUGUAGACUCGCCUCAAAACAAUUGGCAGCCGGCGUAUUGAUUUCGGAGCGCAGUACAUCUCGCGCUUUGCACUCAUAACGACGACGUCCAAAAGUACAUUUUUACACUCUUGACCUCGUAUCAGGUAGGGAUACCCGCUGAACUUAAGCAUAUCAAUAAGCGGAGGA
rnacentral:misc_RNA from 1 species